rnacentral:rRNA from 1 species
GACGAACGCUGGCGGCGUGCCUAAUACAUGCAAGUAGAACGCUGAAGCGAGGAGCUUGCUCUUCUUGGAUGAGUUGCGAACGGGUGAGUAACGCGUAGGUAACCUGCCUUGUAGCGGGGGAUAACUAUUGGAAACGAUAGCUAAUACCGCAUAACAAUGGAUGACACAUGUCAUUUAUUUGAAAGGGGCAAUUGCUCCACUACAAGAUGGACCUGCGUUGUAUUAGCUAGUAGGUGAGGUAAUGGCUCACCUAGGCGACGAUACAUAGCCGACCUGAGAGGGUGAUCGGCCACACUGGGAACGAGACACGGCCCAGACUCCUACGGGAGGCAGCAGUAGGGAAUCUUCGGCAAUGGGGGCAACCCUGACCGAGCAACGCCGCGGGAGUGAAGAAGGUUUUCGGAUCGUAAAGCUCUGUUGUAAGUCAAGAACGGGUGUGAGAGUGGAAAGUUCACACUGUGACGGUAGCUUACCAGAAAGGGACGGCUAACUACGUG